rnacentral:lncRNA from 1 species
UCAUUGCUACGUGUGCUGUUACUGGGGUUUGGUGACGCUUCAUCUUCUGGUGAGCCCUGAUGGUUUCUUGUUGACAUCACAAAACUGGAUUCAGGAUUUGUGGAUGAGUCUUCUUGCGCAUAAUGAUCAGGUUCAGGUUUCUCACAAUCUGAAACUGGGUUGCAGAAGACUCGAGGGUAAGAGCAGUGACUAAGGCUGAAAGGCUGCUUGCUUGAAGUACUCAAUGGGGCAGUUGAUGACGACCUAAAACUCUGGGAGAUGGCUAUACUUUCUCUAUCAAAACCUUUCUCCUGGGACACAAUUACAUCAUCAACGAGGUACAAGGCUCAGCCUUGGAAACAAAAUAAUUUGUCAAGCACAAAUGUCAAUUAUUGAUGUAAAGAUUGAUUAUUAACUUACCUCCUCAUUCACAACGCAGGUUUUCUGUUCAUUCCCACCACAAGCAGAAGAGUUUGAAGCCCAUCUUGGAGAUUGCUUGAAGCAGGAUUCCAAACUUGUACUCUGUCUACUUCUGCUCGAGUAGAAUGCAAAACUGUGACUGUCAUCACCGCUGCUCAUAUCCCGUUCCAAACCAUCUCUAGUAUAUCCAAUUGGAGAGAAGCUGAGAUUCGUCCGCCAUUGCAGGGCAUCAUCUGAAGGAAUAUCCUUUCCGCUAUGGGAUGGUGAUUUGGUUGUUACCAAUGGCCUUGAGGCCACGAUACAACAUAGUGCACCCGUUUUGAGCGUUUUUUAGUUCUCACCGCCUUCAAGGCAGAGAGACUUCCUACAUCAAGAAAGAUACCAUGUAUUUAAACCAAAGGGUAACUUGUAAACACUGGGGAAAGCUGAGUUAAUGAUUGUAAUCUUGAUCAAUUUAUAAAUAAUGAAUUCUUGAUAAUACAGCUAAAUCCCCGAGUUGAGUGAUUCAAAAA